rnacentral:rRNA from 1 species
GGCUAACUCUGUGCCAGCAGCCGCGGUAAGACAGAGGUCCCGAGCGUUGUUCGGAUUCAUUGGGCGUAAAGGGUGUGUAGGAGGUGGGGUAAGUCAGGUGUGAAAUCUCAGAGCUUAACUCUGAAACUGCGCUUGAUACUGCUCUGCUAGAGGAUCGGAGGGGGUAUCGGAAUUUAUGGUGUAGCAGUGAAAUGCGUAGAUAUCAUAAGGAACACCGGUGGCGAAGGCGGAUACCUGGAAGAUUCCUGACUCUGAAACACGAAAGCCAGGGGAGCAAACGGGAUUAGAUACCCCGGUAGUCCUGGCCGUAAACGGUGUGCAUUGGGCGUAGGCGGAUUCGACCCCGUCUGUGUCGCAGAUAACUCGUUAAAUGCACCGCCUGGGAAGUACGGUCGCAAGAUUAAAACUCAAAGAAAUUGACGGGGGCCCGCACAAGCGGUGGAGUAUGUGGCUUAAUUCGAUGCAACGCGAAGAACCUUACCUGGCCUUGACAUGCUAGUAGUAGAACCCAGAAACGGGGACGAGGUAGCAAUACCAGCUAGCACAGGUGCUGCA